rnacentral:rRNA from 1 species
UACGGAGGGGGCUAGCGUUGUUCGGAAUUACUGGGCGUAAAGCGCACGUAGGCGGGCUGGAAAGUCAGAGGUGAAAUCCCAGGGCUCAACCCUGGAACUGCCUUUGAAACUUCCAGUCUUGAGGUCGAGAGAGGUGGGUGGAAUUCCGAGUGUAGAGGUGAAAUUCGUAGAUAUUCGGAGGAACACCAGUGGCGAAGGCGGCCCACUGGCUCGAUACUGACGCUGAGGUGCGAAAGCGUGGGGAGCAAACAGG